CGAUCGUAACAACAGCAGCCCCAGUGAAUCAAGCCUUUCAGUACCCACGCACAUGGAUAGACUCCUCCCACACUGACUCUGAGCUUGGCCAUGUGACUUGCUUUGGCCAAUGAGACAUUAGCAAACAUGAGGUAGGCAAAGGCCAGACACAAGCCUGCGCACUGGCACUUGCCUCCUGGAACCCUGAACCCGCCGCUAAGCUGGAGGAAAUAAUGCAUGGAAGACGCACGGAGAGAGAAUCCCAGCUGCCCCGCAGACACUGGCCGCCCCAGCAAACCACCGCAACCUCAUACUGAGCCCAGGUGAGACCCGCAGAAGCAUCCAGUCAAUCCAAAGCAUCAUUGAGAAAAAGCCAGCUGCCAUGUUCAGAAGACACUCAAGCAGCCCUGCAAGGAGGGUUAUAUGGCGAGAACCUGAGGCCUCCUGCCAAAAGCCGUGAAAGGGCGCCAUCUUGGAGGUGGACAUUCGUGGUCCAUUAAGCCUUGGGGUGCCUGCAACCUUAUGAGAGAUCACCCAGCUAAGGUGCCCUCAGAUUCUUGAUCCACAGAAACUGUGUGAGACACUAAGUGUUUAUUGUCUUAAGCUGCUAAAUUUUGAGCAAUAGAUAACUAGUACAACA